GUGCUCCCUUUGGUAGCACAUAUACUAAAAUUGGAACAAUACAGAGAAAAUUAGUACAUCCCCUGUGCAAGGAUGACAUACAAAUAAAGAUAAUGAAUUAUGGUCUUU
ensembl:snRNA U6 U6 spliceosomal RNA